CAACAGAGUCUUAAACCCAAAUCUGCGACUCAGUUUUAUGCCUGCAAUGUUUUACUUAAUCUCUCAACCAAUUAAUGUUAGAGUAGCUAGUCAUCGUGAGAGCAGCCAACCACUGGUAUGCUUAUCUGAGCCUCUGGUCCUACCUUAUUGACGCUGGUUGACGUUUGCCUGGCGCUUCCACUUUGAAUAUGUUGGAGGAACAGAAGACACAGGCCAUUAAGUUACAAAAAUCUUAUUUUUGUUCUAUGUGCACUACGAUUAAUUGCUAGAGCAGGAAGAUAUUAGACAUUCCCAUCACCAACCCUGCCCUGCCUGUUGCCAAGAAGAAAGAAAAAUGGAAUAAGCACCCACCACCUCUAUUGACGCCCCCUGGUCUAGCCCCUGCAGCGUAGAAGCAAGCAUGGGUGGGGGAGCCCCAACCACUGGAAAGUGAUGUCAUGGCAACAGUAACCACAGUGGCGUACAUCAUUUCUGUUUCACAGCAGCAAACCAUGCGUGCUCCAGAGAGACCUCUCUUCUUCGGCGAAGAGACUGUGUGUGCUGUCCUGCCUGAUAAGACUGCAUGUGUCUUGAUAAGUGUGUGUACUGUCCUGUCACUACUAGAGGCCGUAAUGUCCUGAUAAGGGACUGUGUGCUGUCUCAAUAAGACUGCAUGCUGUCCUGUCAUGAUAGAGGGCAUUGGCCUGGAUUCAAUAAACAUUUGUCUUUAACUUUGA